rnacentral:lncRNA from 1 species
UCGACUGCAUCCCAUGAUUCGGGGUCCUUCGUCCUUCCGGCAACUGUGGAUGCCAAGAAGUAUCCUCGGCGACGCCACCACCAGUGUAACUUCUGCGACUAUAAGAGUAAAUAUGUGUCGCAUCUGAAACGACACAUUCGGGUUCAUACAGAUGAGCGGCCAUUUCACUGCCAUUUGUGCCCUCAGAGCUUUAAAUGUAGGUACGUGUUGAAUGUUCACCUGCGCACCCACACCGG